UACGUAGGGUGCGAGCGUUGUCCGGAAUUAUUGGGCGUAAAGAGCUCGUAGGCGGUCUGUCGCGUCGGUCGUGAAAACUUGGGGCUUAACCCUGAGCUUGCGGUCGAUACGGGCAUGACUGGAGUUCGGCAGGGGAGACUGGAAUUCCUGGUGUAGCGGUGAAAUGCGCAGAUAUCAGGAGGAACACCGGUGGCGAAGGCGGGUCUCUGGGCCGAAACUGACGCUGAGGAGCGAAAGCGUCGGGAGCAAACAGG
rnacentral:rRNA from 1 species